rnacentral:misc_RNA from 1 species
GGUGAAGAACGCAGCGAAAUGCGAUAAGUAGUGUGAAUUGCAGAAUUCAGUGAAUCAUCGAAUCUUUGAACGCACAUUGCGCCCCUUGGUAUUCCAUGGGGCAUGCCUGUUCGAGCGUCAUUUGUACCUUCAAGCUCUGCUUGGUGUUGGGUGUUUGUCUCGCCUCUGCGUGUAGACUCGCCUCAAAACAAUUGGCAGCCGGCGUAUUGAUUUCGGAGCGCAGUACAUCUCGCGCUUUGCACUCAUAACGACGACGUCCAAAAGUACAUUUUUACACUCUUGACCUCGGAUCAGGUAGGGAUACCCGCUGAACUUAAGCAUAUCAAUAAGCGGAGGA